CGCCGUCACUGCCGUCGUUGCCACCAUCCAAGGAGGAGGUAUUUCUUUGCCUGAAUCAAAAAAAAAAAUCAGCAAAUCAAACCGGAUGGAUAUUAGGAUAUAUAUAUCUGUUUUACGAGAAAUUAAGUAGGCACCCAUUGUUAUUGGAGUCUUGUUCUAGCUGCAGCUGUUCUGGGACAAGGACAAAACGCAGAACUGCGACGGAGAGGAGAAGAACGAAAACAGAGAUGAUGACAAGGAAAAUUCCCAUGGAGAGAUGAGAUCGACAGUAGUACGUAGUAGAAGAAAGAGUCAAGGAAGGAGAUAUAAUAAAGAAGAAGAAAAAAGUAAACACAAAGUCUUUGUUCAUUUACUUCCGCUUUUAACAAAGUAAAAUAAUAGCACUUAGUUUUUUUCAACAUACAUUAAUUAAUUAUCUGGGUUAGCUUGAUUUUUACGUGAAUGCUAUAGUACUUG
rnacentral:lncRNA from 1 species